AGAGUUUGAUCCUGGCUCAGAUUGAACGCUGGCGGCAUGCCUUACACAUGCAAGUCGAACGGCAGCACGGGAGCAAUCCUGGUGGCGAGUGGCGAACGGGUGAGUAAUACAUCGGAACGUGUCCAGUUGUGGGGGAUAGCCCGGCGAAAGCCGGAUUAAUACCGCAUACGACCUACGGGUGAAAGCGGGGGAUCGCAAGACCUCGCGCUAUUGGAGCGGCCGAUGUCAGAUUAGCUAGUUGGUGGGGUAAAGGCCUACCAAGGCGACGAUCUGUAGCUGGUCUGAGAGGACGACCAGCCACACUGGGACUGAGACACGGCCCAGACUCCUACGGGAGGCAGCAGUGGGGAAUUUUGGACAAUGGGGGCAACCCUGAUCCAGCCAUGCCGCGUGCGGGAAGAAGGCCUUCGGGUUGUAAACCGCUUUUGUCAGGGAAGAAACGGUCUGCGCUAAUACCGCGGACUAAUGACGGUACCUGAAGAAUAAGCACCGGCUAACUACGUGCCAGCAGCCGCGGUAAUACGUAGGGUGCAAGCGUUAAUCGGAAUUACUGGGCGUAAAGCGUGCGCAGGCGGCUUUGCAAGACAGGUGUGAAAUCCCCGGGC
rnacentral:rRNA from 1 species